rnacentral:rRNA from 1 species
CCUACGGGAGGCAGCAGUGAGGAAUCUUGGUCAAUGGACGAGAGUCUGAACCAGCCAAGUAGCGUGAAGGAUGACUGCCCUAUGGGUUGUAAACUUCUUUUAUAUGGGAAUAAAACGUUCCACGUGUGGGAUUUUGUAUGUACCCUAUUAAUAAGGAUCGGCUAACUCCGUGCCAGCAGCCGCGGUAAUACGGAGGAUCCGGGCGUUAUCCGGAUUUAUUGGGUUUAAAGGGAGCGUAGGUGGAUUGUUAAGUCAGGUGUGAAAGUUUGCGGCUCAAACGUAAAAUUGCAGUUGAAACUGGCAGUCUUGAGUACAGUAGAGGUGGGCGGAAUGCGUGGUGUAUCGGUGAAAUGCUUAGAUAUCACGAAGAACUCCGAUUGCGAAGGCAGUUCACUGGACUGCAACUGACACUGAGGCUCGAAAGUGUGGGUAUCAAACAGGAUUAGAUACCCUAGUAGUC